CAUGUCUGUGUCCGUCGUCAGAGACCGGUCGUCACUAGUUAAAACAGCCACAAAGUCUGAAUUAUGGCUAAACCCCGCCCAUUUCAACAAUUUAUCUUGUUAAAAUCGGAUUUAAAACCCAACCACAAUACUAACCGAAUACCUUACCCUAGCCUUAAAUUAAGGCCAAAAAGCUAAAUGCUGUAGACAAUUUUGACUCUGUGGUUGUGUUACCUAGUGUGGAAACCAGCUACAUGCUAUAGCCACGUAACGUCUUUAAAUCAUCUCCGUUUUUGUAGUGGAUUGAUUGAUUGAUAUUAGCUCGAUCGUAGGCUAAAUCUACCGAAAUGGGGAAGAGGGACAAUAGAGUGUCUUAUGUGAACCCAAUAGCUGCAUCACGUGCCAGUGGACCCCCACCCAAUGCAGGACCCUCUAUCCAGGAUUACCUGAGCAGACCACGGCCAACAUGGGAAGAGGUGAAGGAGAUCAUAGACAGGAAGAAGAAAGGCUCCAGAGCCCUGGCGGACUUUGAGGACCAAAUGAACGAGAAUUGGAAGAAGGAGCUGGCGAAGAACAGAGAGAAGUUACUAGGUGGCGUUGACAAAGAGAAGGAGAAGAAAGAGAAAAAGAAGAGAGUGAAAGGAAGGAAAGGAAAGAAAUCCAACAGGCAUUCCUCUCCAUCCUCCUCAUCAAGUUCUGAUUCCUCUAGCAGCUCUUCCUCAGACUCUGAAGACGAGAAUGAAAAGAGCGCCAAGAGGAAAAAGAAGCGGUCCUCCAAGAAAGCAUCAGAUGACUCUACUGUAGAAUUGGAGCCCGACGGCAAGGUUAGUUUGAUAUGGGUGAGAAGAGCCGCAGGAAGAAGAGGACAGCUGAGCGAAGUCGUAAAGACUCCUCCUCAGAGUUGUCUGCUGACUCCGACGUGGAGGGUGGUGAACCCAAGAAGAGGAAGAGAAGUAGUGAAGAGAAGGAGAAAGACAAAAUGACAGCAGUAGGUGAUUUAAGUCAGUCAAGCAUACAGUAACCACAGGAUGAUGACGGCCACUGCCUUUUAUUUUUGCCAGACAGAUGUUUACUGGUGCGGUGUCCGGCAUGUCAGAAAUGGACAAAUCAAAGAAGAAGAGGAAAAAGAAGCACAAGAAACACGAAGGAAGAAGAAGAAAACAAUCUUCUGACACAGAGUUAGACUAGCGGUGUGGUUCUGUCCACUAGUAGAGAGCUUCUGCCUUCCAACUACCAACAAAUCCCACCUGGGCUGCCCCCCCAUGACUGGGAUAGUUGGUGCACUAUGGGAACUGCUGGCUUGAGAGUAUUAAACUAAUACCGCGUUCAAAACAACUGGGAACCUGGGAAAAAAACAAGCUCCGACUGGGGAAAAAUCGUUUUGAGCGGUCAUCCAACUCAGAAUUCCAAGUCGGAAACUUGGGCAUCUUUCUAGAACUGACUUUCCGACCUGAAGAUCACGGACAUCAUUAUUUGACCUCGUUUAUUUUCAGAGUUCCCAGUUGUCUUGAAAGCAACAUAAGGACUGGUGAACUAGAAUCAAACCCUCUGUGAAAACGUAAUGUUUUUUCUUAGCAGUUUUUAUUCAAUCUAAAUAAUAAGGAAACCACAAGUCAAGUGUGGCCCAACUGAACUGCAAAAUGUGCCUAUGAAAAUGUACUUCCAUUUUGUACACCCUUGGUGUGCUGGCCUUCUAUGUAUAAUUUUUACUUCUUGACAAUCUCAUCUUUCUAAAACUGCAUCGCUAGCUACACAAUGAGGUAAUUUUGGGACUUUUAUGCUAGUGCCAUGGUGUGUGUGUGUGUGUGUGUGUGUGUGUGUGUGUGUGUAAUCUGAUAUGAUGGACACUUCUCUUGUCAUCCUCAUGUAAAUUGGGAUUGUAAAAAUGCAAGUCAAAUGGUCAUAAUCACAAGGGACAAUCUGUUAAAUGUAAUGAGUUAUACAACUAUGAAUGAUAUCUAUAAAUGAAUCUGGUUUCAUUAUUAAAGUGUUAAUGUUUUAGCCAUGA